UACGUAGGGUCCGAGCGUUGUCCGGAAUUACUGGGCGUAAAGAGCUCGUAGGUGGUUUGUCGCGUUGUUCGUGAAAACUCACAGCUCAACUGUGGGCGUGCGGGCGAUACGGGCAGACUAGAGGUGAUGUAGGGGAGACUGGAAUUCCUGGUGUAGCGGUGAAAUGCGCAGAUAUCAGGAGGAACACCGAUGGCGAAGGCAGGUCUCCGGGCAUUAACUGACGGCUGAGGAGCGAAAGCAUGGGGAGCCGAACAGG
rnacentral:rRNA from 1 species